CCAUUCAAAGAAUAGCUAUGUCAAAGUUUCAACUUGCUGCCCUUGUCAUCUCAUGUUUUCUCCUGUAUGCUUCUCAAUCAAAGGUGAUAGCAUUGAACUUGAACACAAAACAAAUCGGAUAUGAAGACGAGUGUAUCUACAGAGGCUCGUGCAGGUUCAGCUACGAAUGUAAGAGUCGAUGUGGACCGCCUGAGUUCCCACAUGGAACUCUUGGUUUAUGCAUGCUCAGUCCAGAUGGUUCUAAAUAUCUUUGUUGUUGUACUCCCUAUACUAAACAUUAGUUGUAACUUUGGUUAGAUUAUUAUCAUAUAAAAUUUAAAGGAAAAAUGAAUUGAAAAACAUAAACUCUUUAU